rnacentral:lncRNA from 1 species
GCAGUGCUUCAGACUAAGCUGAGCUGCACUCACAGGAGCAGAGCUGGCAAGGACUGCUAGAUUCAGCCACCCAGACAUUUUCUUGGCAUCUAUAACUCUUCUGAGAUUUCAGAGGAUCUUCAGAGAAUUGCUGGUAAUUGACCUGUUUGGAUUGCACAUGACUGGCAUUUGCUAAAAGAUAAUACAACCCUGCAUUUUGUUAAGUGCUGGUUGCGAUAUUAACUUGUGGCCAAAUCAGAAUAAAGGCUCUAGAGACAUUUAGA